AGGGGUCUUGUUUUGAUAAUAGUCAUUCUAACAGGUGUGAGGUGGUGUCCCAUUGUGGUUUUAAUUUGCGUUUCUCUGAUAAUAGUCAUUUUGAACAUGUUUUCAUGUACCUGUUGAUCAUGUGUGUCUUUGGCAAAAUCUCUCUUCAGACCCUCUGCCCAUUUUUGAUUGGAUUUAUUGCUGUUUAAUUGUAUGAAUUCUUUAUAUUCUGGAUAUUAACCCCUUAUCAGAAACGUGAUUUGUACGUUUUCUCCUACUGCACAGGUUGCCUUUUCAUUUGGUUGAUGGUUUCCUUUGCUGAGCUUUUUAGUUUGAUGUAGUCCCAUUUGUUUAUUUUUGCUUUUGUUGCCUUUGCUUUUGUUGUCAAAUCCAAAAAAAUUAUUGCCAAGACCAACUCAUUCUAAAAACAAACCUUUCCCAUAUGAAGUGUACUGCAAGGUAACUAGGUACUUAUUAUGAGUAAAUUUUUCACUGUGAAGAUAUUCCAACUAAAAGAUGAAGACAGAAGUAAACUGGUAUAAUUUUAAUGAAAUUAAAGAUCUGUAUAAUGAUCAGUGGCUGCUAACACCACAACAGAACCAACCAGAAUUGUGUACCUGUUGGUGGAAGUACAUACCACCUGUUCUUGUCAAAAAAUGAACUUGAAUCAGAUCAAACAGAAAUGCAAGAACACACUAAAUGACAUCACAGGAAUGCAGUCUGUGCAAUGCACAAUGGAGGAAAUUACAGGCCCACUUUCUUCAACAAAUAUUUUGCAAACCAGGGGAAAAAGAGGCAGGGAAACCUAUACUUUGAGUCUUAGGGAACUACGAACCAAUAUAGGAUGUGGCCCUCAUUUGGUUCCUCUUUCUUGAAAAAGUUAUGAAACAAUUUAGGGUCUCUGAACAUUCAAGUGUUUCACAUUAAGCAGUUAAUAUUUUUAGAUGUGCUAUUUUAUAGAAAAACCCCUUUUAGAAGUACAUAAU